CUGCGCGCGCCCCCGCCGGCCAUGCACUCCAUGAAGGGCCCAUUAGCGAGGCAGGUGCCUCCGGGACUGUAAAUUUGCCCCCUGAUUUAUCUCCCUAGAGAUGAAAUAAAUCCCGUUGGAUGGGAGUUUAGUUAGGCAAAGGUUUUAAUGGGAAAAUCAGGAAAAAAUACGAGAACAUAUUUUAUCGACCGAAAGAAUGUAGAUUUCAAGAUCCACUCCGAAAGCUCAAGCUCAGUAUGCUUAGUUCAGGGAAGAGCCUGGGACGGCUGGACGCCACAGGUCAGGGCACUCCAUCUUGGAUCAGGGCCCAAGCCCUGUACUGGGGUUCCUUCUCCUUCCCAGCUCGUGGUGGUGUGGGCUGUUGUGAACUUGUGGGUAUAACUUUUCUGGGUGGAUUUUGAACGAAAAAGGGUGGACUCUAGGGACCAGAUAGAUUUGGCUUCCUCAGAUCUGCCAAACUCUGCCAACUGAACUCACUGACUUUAGAUGGCUCCAGGCAACCGGUGACCUUACUACCACACACACACACACACACACAACCUAUGCUGUCCUCCCGUUCUGAAAUCCUUGAAGUUGGGUUGGGGUAUCUGGGAGAGGCUAGGCCGUCCCCCUUGAACUUUUAUGCUUAUUAGGCACUCACCUAGGAGGUUACCCGUGUCCAGACUUUGAGGCCCAGGACCAGAAUUCUCCUGCUUAUUGCUUUCUGGCAAGCUGGACCUCGGGCCAGAAUGCAGCGGUUUUGGAAUUCAAGAACCAGGACGAAAGGAUCACCUUACUCACUGACUUCGGCUGGGUAUGCGUUUGCAGUCUAGCGGACAGAGCACUGGCUAUAGACCCGGCCUGUAGAGCCCACUAGGCCUUAAUUUCUUUUCUAGUACAGGGGCCUCUCACUCCAUAAAAUUGUUGGGCAGUUAACUGAAGUUGCAGCCACCUAGUGCGGCGGCGCACAGCAGGAUCCGAGAAGGUAGCACGCUGGCGCUUAUUUCUUUCCUCCUCUUGAGCAGUGCUUACUGUUAACCUCAUAAUACCUAGUACUGAUUGUGAUACAACCUGUGGAAAUAGAAUCUACUGUUUCCGGUCCUGGCGAUUUAAGCAGAGGCCCUGUGCAGUUUGUUAAUAACGACUUUCCCCUUUUGCCCUGGUCUCCAAGGUUUCUGUCUUACGGGCAAAAGUGAUCCUAAAGGCUUCACGUAGGGGCCUAACGUCCACUGCUGCUGGUCCUCUUAGAAGUUCAGUUUCGUUUUUUAACAGUUAGUGUGGGGUCUUUACGCCACGCGUCUCCAUCAGGUCAAGGCUUGGAAAGCCACUUUAUGGCGGGAACUGGAAAUAAGUGCUGUGGUCCCGCUGACUUCUGCAGGACCUGAAAGACCUUGCACGUAUGAUCCUCACCCAUCCUCCCGUACGCAGUGGCCCCUAGCGCCUAGAGGUUUCAGUUACUGGCUUCCUAGUCUGAGUCUACACUCUCAGGAUCCAUUUGGGCGCGAGCAGCAGCAGCGGGGGCUAGGCUCAGUUCCCUCCAGCACCGAGCACACCGCCCGCUGGAAAGUCUGGGCUUUCUGAUGGUACCCUGGGAUCUCUGGACUGCUUCCCUCGAGCCCUUAGACCAGCCCCUGGCCUCGCUUUCGCUCCACUUCGAUUACGACCGCGUAUACUCCGAGGAUCUGAGCAUCGGGAGUACAGUCCCUGGUAGAGUACGGACUUUUCUGGGCUCGCGGGAGACCAUGCUGGAGGCCAGGGGCGCCAGCUCUAGAGAAGAGGGACCCAGAGCUCUGAGCAGCAUGGGGGUGGGGCGGGAAAAUACGAGGCGGGCAGAGUGGGAAGUCCUGAAACCUCCCACCUCACCGUGCCAAGCCGACCCUGAACAGCUAGGAAGAGCGCCCGUCCUCGGAAUCAGCGUUCGGAGAGGCGAACUAUGAGACAGGGUAGGUGUGCUCUGGCCUUUCGAAGGCUCACAGAGCCCGGGGCACUGAGACAGAAGGAGUGCUGCAGUUCUGUGCUCGAACUCUGGCUGUUGUCGCAGGCCUGUCCAGACUUCCUUAAAUCUGGGCAAUCGAAAGAUCUUCCGUCGCUGUUCUUCUCCAGCGGCCCUGCAUCUGUGUACACCUGCGGGCUCACUCCAACUGCGAAACCCACAGAGUCGAGAGAGGUGUCGCUUUCUGUCUGGAUACUCAUUGCCAUGCUCUCCCUGGGAUCAGAGACUCAGGGAACGGUGAGGCCAGUGUGCCGGAUGAAUGAAGCGGGAGUGCGGGCCGAAGGAUGAAGAGCGGACACGGCGUGAGGUGAAGAAUGUGAUGUUGCAGAUGAAAUAUUUUCAGAAGCUUUUAUUCUUGUUGUUUGGGCUCCUGGUGACGCGACAAGAACAGAAGGUACCUCUGGCCCUCUGAGCUUUCUAUCGUCCGCUUCUGGCUGUGAGAGGACCUUGUCAAGUCCAAUAGGAUCAUCAUCUGGCAUUCUGCAGGACACAGUCAGGCUCCUCAGAAGUCACCCACACCAUUACCAGAUCCCCGUGGGAGUUGCACUCUGACCAAUCAACCUGAUCCUUGAACUUUCAACCGGCUCUUUUCAGGUACCCACUGAUCACACCCAGGAAACGGGAGCAAGCCUACUCAGGGCCACUUCUAAUUCUUCCGAGCAUAGAGAGCUCUGCUCCCGCAUUACUUAUGGAAGCUUCUGAUAUUCCAUACUGGUGCCAAGAGAGAGAGAGAGAGAGAGAGAGAGAGAGAGAGAGAGAGAGAGAGAGAGAGAGAGAGAGAGAGAGAGAGAGAACCUCGGUGUAUACCUGUGGGGGUGGUAUGAGAAGCUGGCCCCAAAGAGGGGCUGGCCCAAGGGACUGUACACAUUAGAGGGCCUUGGAAGCUGACCAAGCUUAUUACCACCUGCUUGCUGCACAUAGUGAGGGUUUUAAGAUGGUCACGAGUGAGUACUUUGGGCUGAGUGGGUCACCCUAGACAGGAACGUUCACUGAAACAAGUGGCAGUGUGUGGUCCUGGUGUGGACCUGCAUGGGCACAGGGAUGACCUGCACUUUGGCGACUGUUCCUAUAGGCAAAAAGUCUACCUGUGCUUCUGAUGAUAGAUGUCUACCUGUGGGGUUUUGCUCAAUCUACUUGCAUAUGACUGGCGCAUGCCCAGGGCUACCAGCUGACGGAAUAGACCUGGUCAGCAGGGAAAUAGACUGUGGCCAUGGUGGGCACGGAUGCCUUGGUGUGGAAAGAGCAACCAGACAGUUUCUACAUAACCAUGCAAGGGGCCAUAUGCCUCACAAGGGAGAAAGUGACAUCUCUGGGAUCGAGGAAAGGCUUAUCCAUUGACUGUGCCUGGUGGUUAGCUCUAAGCAGUCCAACAAAAGCAUCCUUCUACAGUCGGGAAAAGGACCUUGGAGAAACACAGACACACCAGAGGGUCUAUGGCUUGGGACUGAGAUGACUGUGGACCACAAAGACCAGCACACUGCAACACUCCAAAUGCCUGAACAUUAAGCCUGCUGUGUGCUGUGUGUUACGGGUGCUGUGGCAGCAUGGCCCUCCUGGCAAGGUGGGACAGGAAGGUCUCCAUUCCAUAGAAGAAGAAGCCUCUGCAGCUGUCCAGUAGCUGUUCCCAGUCAGCCUGGCUACAGGGGGUGAAACCAGCCAGUGGGCAUAGCCACAACUCAUCUGGCCUAGGGGAAUGCACCUGCAACCCCUCCUUCCAGCAGGGACUGUCCCCUUGCCACCUGCACUAAACCCUUUAUUCUGCUGUGGGGCCCAAAUUAUUUUUGUUUUCCCGGUGUACAGCUGGCCUCAGAUGGACCCCCCCACCCCCACCCCACCCCCACUCCCAGGGAUGGACUGGUCUAAGAAGAAACAUGCAUCUCAUGCCAGUGGAGUUGGCUCUGUGUUUUCCUGUGUGCCGCUCGCUCCCUCCCAUCAACACCAGCAUUCCUAGCAACGGUGGGCAAAGCAUGCGCCUCUUCAUCUUCUCUGCUCCUCGAAACGGGUCUGUGUAGAGCUGGCUGUCUCGGGGCUCUCUCUACUAUAGACCUGGUUAGCCUGGAACUCACAGAGAUCCUUUUGCCUCUUCAUCCGGAAUUCUGGGAUUAAAGGUGGUCUCUAAGUCUGAAAAAAAGGAUUGCUACAGAAACUGUAAUUGGCUAACUUAACUGUCAGACAGCCUCCUAUCAACCAACCACAAGUGCUUCUGAGCCACCCAAGAACCUGGAACCAAACAUGUGCCUCACUGUUCAACACCGUCACUCCGGCACACUGUGCGGAGGCUGGGACUGAAGAAGGACAGCCUUUCCCCAUCUUGACCCAUUACCCUUCUUUUCUCCAUUGAGGCACCCACCAGCUCAGCAGUCCCCAAACCUGUCAUGAAAGCCAUUCAGGAGAGCCACACGGUUCUCUAUGUCCUGCCCUCCCAGAUGUUGCUCCUCAGAGACUGCCCCCAGGCACCUCCAGGCACCAGACUGAGGAUCCAGUAGCCACAGUGGUCCUGGAACCCAGAGGAGCGACACAGCCAACCUAGGGUUUCCUCAGAGCUGCCCUUGCCAACCCCUGGGUGGUACCUUGCUGGAAGGAGGGGUCCCACGCCCAGGAGCAAGUGCUGCACACACCUGG